UACGUAGGCGGCAAGCGUUGUCCGGAUUUAUUGGGUUUAAAGGGUGCGUAGGCGGUCUUAUAAGUCAGUGCUGAAAUAUCCCGGCUUAACCGGGAGGGUGGCAUUGAUACUGUAGGACUUGAGUAAAGUUGAGGUUGGCGGAAUUGACGGUGUAGCGGUGAAAUGCUUAGAUAUCGUCAAGAACACCGAUAGUGUAGACAGCUAACUAAGCUUUAACUGACGCUGAGGCACGAAAGUGUGGGGAUCAAACAGG
rnacentral:rRNA from 1 species